AGAAAAGGAAGAGAAAGAGAUCAGAUGGUGGAAGCUGAAGGAGGACGACUGUUGUGUGACAUUCAGUGAGCAGAUGAGAGAGGCACGAGAUGGAGAGGAAGCAGUUUGGACAACAGGAAAAGUACUGCAGAUGUAGUUAAGGAGACAGCUAGGAAGGUACUGGGUGUGACAUCUGGACAGUGGAAGGAAGACAAGGAGACUUGGUGGUGGAAUGAAGAUGUUCCAGAAAGCAUGAGGAGAAAGAAGUUUGCGAAGAAGCUUUGGGAUAGUCGGAGAGAUGAAGAAAGUAGACAGGAGUACACAGAGAUUUUUCAUUUCAUUU